rnacentral:rRNA from 1 species
UACGGAGGGUGCAAGCGUUAUCCGGAUUCACUGGGUUUAAAGGGUGCGUAGGUGGAUUAGUAAGUCAGUGGUGAAAUCUCCGGGCUUAACCCGGAAACUGCCAUUGAUACCAUUAGUCUUGAAUACCGUGGAGGUCAGCGGAAUAUGUCAUGUAGCGGUGAAAUGCUUAGAUAUGACAUAGAACACCAAUUGCGAAGGCAGCUGGCUACACGAGCAUUGACACUCAGGCACGAAAGCGUGGGGAUCAAACAGG